rnacentral:tRNA from 1 species
AGNAAGGCACUGAAAAUGCCAAGAUGAGUCGCACGACUCCAUAAACA